rnacentral:misc_RNA from 1 species
AAGUCGUAACAAGGUUUCCGUAGGUGAACCUGCGGAAGGAUCAUUAACACGUAUCCAACGUUAAACCCCCUGUGAACUUUAAGUCCUGCUCCGGAAACUUUUCAAACAGCAAUCCCAGUAAAUCAUGGUCGAACAGUUUUGAUUUGGGACCUCUGUUGAAGAGCGUACGUAUUGAGACGGUUGAGAUAGGGGCAUGGCUUCCCGAAUCAAUCAUCAAAUGAAAGUGUUGAUGCUUGUGAAAGGAUAACGCUUCUCGGUCGCUGGAGGCCCACACGGCCGGCGGACAUGCCUCAUGGGCGCAAGCCCCUUAAUAACCCCAAUUUGAAAUUGCUCCUACCUGGUGGUAACGCACUGGGUCAAAAAAACCGAACAACUGUUAACAAUGGAUAUCUUGGUUCUC